rnacentral:misc_RNA from 1 species
GACGGAGGGUGCAAGCGUUGUUCGGAAUCAUUGGGCGUAAAGCGCGCGCAGGCGGCCCUUUCAAGUCUGGUGUGAAAGCCCGAGGCUCAACCUCGGAGGUGCACUGGAAACUGGAGGGCUUGAGUUCGACAGGGGCCAGUGGAAUUCGUGGUGUAGGGGUGAAAUCCGUAGAGAUCACGAGGAACACCGGUGGCGAAGGCGACUGGCUGGAUCGGAACUGACGCUGAGGCGCGAAAGCGUGGGGAGCAAACAGG